GAUGAACGCUGGCGGCGUGCCUAAUACAUGCAAGUCGAGCGAACGGACGAGAAGCUUGCUUCUCUGAUGUUAGCGGCGGACGGGUGAGUAACACGUGGAUAACCUACCUAUAAGACUGGGAUAACUUCGGGAAACCGGAGCUAAUACCGGAUAAUAUUUUGAACCGCAUGGUUCAAAAGUGAAAGACGGUCUUGCUGUCACUUAUAGAUGGAUCCGCGCUGCAUUAGCUAGUUGGUAAGGUAACGGCUUACCAAGGCAACGAGGCAUAGCCGACCUGAGAGGGUGAUCGGCCACACUGGAACUGAGACACGGUCCAGACUCCUACGGGAGGCAGCAGUAGGGAAUCUUCCGCAAUGGGCGAAAGCCUGACGGAGCAACGCCGCGUGAGUGAUGAAGGUCUUCGGAUCGUAAAACUCUGUUAUUAGGGAAGAACAUAUGUGUAAGUAACUGUGCACAUCGUGACGGUACCUAAUCAGAAAGCCACGGCUAACUACGUG
rnacentral:rRNA from 1 species